UACGUAGGGGGCAAGCGUUGUCCGGAAUCAUUGGGCGUAAAGCGCGCGUAGGUGGCCUCAUAAGUCCGCUGUGAAAGUCAAAGGCUCAACCUUUGAAAGCCGGUGGAUACUGUGAGGCUAGAGUACGGAAGAGGCGAGUGGAAUUCCCGGUGUAGCGGUGAAAUGCGUAGAGAUCGGGAGGAAGGCCGGUGGCGAAGGCGGCGCUCUGGAACAUACCUGACGCUGAGACACGAAAGCGUGGGGAGCAAACAGG
rnacentral:rRNA from 1 species